AACAACCCCAUCGACUGGAAGGAAUCCCUUCCGAUCAAUGAGGUGGAACAGCCUCAUUGACUGGAAGGAAUUCCUUCCGAUCGAUGAGGUGGAA
rnacentral:miRNA from 1 species